rnacentral:lncRNA from 1 species
GAUCAAUAGAGGCUUUUCGCCGUCGUUCGAAGGCUGAACCGUGACGCUUACGGGACGCAGAUCGCGAGAGGAUCCUCUUUCCAUGGCCAUUUUCCAAGCGAACACAGACAGCAUCCCUGCACUCGCGAUGACAGACAUCGCGACACCCUCCUGUAUCCUCCAUAACCUCUGGUUUCGAACGUCGAAGUGCCGAAUCAUAACGCAGUCGAGAAGAGGACAUGGAUCGCGCAAUAUAGCUGUUUCCAGAUCGAUGGAGCGUACGUGAUCCUCUGUAAC